CAGCCGCCACGGUAAUACGUAGGGUGCAAGCGUUAAUCGGAAUUACUGGGCGUAAAGCGUGCGCAGGCGGUUUUGUAAGACAGAGGCGAAAUCCCCGGGCUCAACCUGGGAACUGCCUUUGUGACUGCAAGGCUGGAGUGCGGCAGAGGGGGAUGGAAUUCCGCGUGUAGCAGUGAAAUGCGUAGAUAUGCGGAGGAGCACCGAUGGCGAAGGCAAUCCCCUGGGCCUGCACUGACGCUCGUGCACGAAAGCGUGGGGAGCAAACAGGAUUAGAUACCCCUGUAGUCCCUGUCUCUUAUAC
rnacentral:rRNA from 1 species